rnacentral:rRNA from 1 species
GACGAACGCUGGCGGCGCGCCUAACACAUGCAAGUCGAACGGGAUCUUUUAGGAGUGCUUGCACUCUUGGCUGAUCUAGUGGCGGACGGGUGAGUAACACGUGAGCAACCUGCCCUGGAGUGGGGGAUAACGUCUGGAAACGGACGCUAAUACCGCAUAACGUGCUCGGAUGGCAUCAUCUGGGUACCAAAGGAGAAAUCCGCUUUGGGAUGGGCUCGCGCCCGAUUAGAUAGUUGGUGAGGUAAUGGCUCACCAAGUCUGCGAUCGGUAGCCGGACUGAGAGGUUGAACGGCCACAUUGGGACUGAGACACGGCCCAGACUCCUACGGGAGGCAGCAGUGGGGGAUAUUGCACAAUGGGGGAAACCCUGAUGCAGCGACGCCGCGUGGGUGAAGACGGCCUUCGGGUUGUAAAGCCCUGUUGUGGGGGACGAAACAAAUGACGGUACCCCACCAGAAAGCCACGGCUAACUACGUGCCAGCCGCCGCCGUAAAAC